GGUCGAUGGAAGGAAAAGUUGUUCAUCCGAAACUCGCCUAUUUAGACUCAAGAAAGUUAUGGUAAAGUGUUUGAGAUAGUUUUCAUUUGUGAUUGAACUCACGAUGUUGCUCGAUUCAAUAAUUUCCUCUUGAAUUAACUGUUUAAGGUUUAUCAAAAGAUGUUUAAUUUUAAUUACUGAUGCAUUGUUAAAAACAGCAUCAAUGUAAACAUGUGGGACAAUGUCAACGACGAGCGUGUCUCGGCUAUGAGAGGUUCGGCACGUUCAUUGGAUGACUGACUGGGUGUGGUCCAUCCUCUCGUAACAACACGCCGCGUUUCCGGACAGGUUGAUUAUCUGCAUACAGCUGGAUUCAAAGUUGUUUCUAACGAUUGUUAUAUUUGGUGACACAUCCAUGACCAUGCAGUGAACAAGAGAGCAGUAGGCCUAAUCAUCUGAUGACACAAACCAUGGACCUACUACGAACCCCCUGCACAACUCAAGAUAACUUCAUCUAAAUCUGCAAAGUUUUAGACUAUCUUCUUGAAGAAAGCAAGCCCAUCCAAUGUCUUAACAUCAACAAAAUUGAAGCAGCUCCGGCUUUCUUCUUCUCUGGACAUUCUUCUUCAGAAUAUGAAGUGUGUAUCCCUGUGGCGAGGCCCCUACAGACACAAUGAAGAUGGAUCAAUAGAGUUCAUGCCAAUGGAUUCCAUGUUUGUCGACUCUCUGGCUCUUUGCCUCACACUUCCUGUGGUGCCUUCUAAAGAAUCACCUUAUUUACCCACCCAGCUUGCCUUCAUAGCACCGUCAAAGUGGGUCUGUGCAGUGCAGGAGUGAAAUAGGGUGGUCGAAAAGCAUGAUUUCAACCCUUUGCCC